rnacentral:rRNA from 1 species
UGCGCAGGCGGCCUGUUAAGUCAGGGGUGAAAUAUGACGGCUCAACCGUCAAACUGCCCCUGAAACUGCCAGGCUUGAGUUCGAGAGAGGUAGGUGGAAUUCCAGGUGUAGCGGUGAAAUGCGUAAAUAUCUGGAGGAACACCAGUGGCGAAGGCGGCCUACUGGCUCGAUACUGACGCUCAGGCACGAAAGCUAGGGGAGCGAACAGGAUUAGAUACCCUGGUAGUCC